GAUGAAGAACGCAGCGAAAUGCGAUAAGUAAUGUGAAUUGCAGAAUUCAGUGAAUCAUCGAAUCUUUGAACGCACAUUGCGCCCGCCAGUAUUCUGGCGGGCAUGCCUGUUCGAGCGUCAUUUCAACCAUCAAGCCCCAGGCUUGUGUUGGAGCCCUGCGGCUGCCGCAGCCUCCCAAAACCAGUGGCGGGCUCGCUAUCACACCGAAUGCAGUAGUUUACUCUUCGCUCAGGGCGUGUGGCGGGUGCUAGCCGUGAAACCCCCAACUUCUCAAGGUUGACCUCGGAUCAGGUAGGAAUACCCGCUGAACUUAAGCAUAUCAAUAAGCGGAGGA
rnacentral:misc_RNA from 1 species